CAAGUAAUUAAGUGCAUGUGGUGGAUGCCUUGGCAGUCAGAGGCGAUGAAAGACGUGAUAGCCUGCGAAAAGCUCCGGGGAGGCGGCAAAUAUCCUUUGAUCCGGAGAUGUCUGAAUGGGGGAACCCACCUACUUUAAGGUAGGUAUUGCAACAUGAAUACAUAGUGUUGCAAGGCGAACGAGGGGAAGUGAAACAUCUCAGUACCCUUAGGAAAAGAAAUCAAUUGAGAUUCCCUCAGUAGCGGCGAGCGAACGGGGAUCAGCCCAUUAAGUUAUGUGUGUUUUAGUGGAACGCUCUGGGAAGUGCGAACGUAGAGGGUGAUAUUCCCGUACACGAAAGGGCACACAUAAUGAUGACGAGUAGGGCGAGGCACGUGAAACCUUGUCUGAAUAUGGGGGGACCAUCCUCCAAGGCUAAAUACUCCUGACUGACCGAUAGUGAACCAGUACCGUGAGGGAAAGGCGAAAAGAACCCCUGUGAGGGGAGUGAAAUAGAUCCUGAAACCGCAUGCAUACAAGCAGUGGGAGCACCUUCGUGGUGUGACUGCGUACCUUUUGUAUAAUGGGUCAGCGACUUAUAUUCAGUAGCGAGGUUAACCGUAUAGGGGAGCCGUAGAGAAAUCGAGUCUUAAUAGGGCGUUUAGUUGCUGGGUAUAGACCCGAAACCAGGCGAUCUAUCCAUGAGCAGGUUGAAGGUUGGGUAACACUAACUGGAGGACCGAACCCACUGUCGUUGAAAAGCCAGGGGAUGACUUGUGGAUAGGGGUGAAAGGCUAAUCAAGCCUGGUGAUAGCUGGUUCUCCCCGAAAGCUAUUUAGGUAGCGCCUCGGACGAAUACCAUAGGGGGUAGAGCACUGUUUCGGCUAGGGGGUCAUCCCGACUUACCAAACCGAUGCAAACUCCGAAUACCUAUGAGUACUAUCCGGGAGACAGACUGCGGGUGCUAACGUCCGUAGUCAAGAGGAAAACAAUCCAGACCGCCAGCUAAGGCCCCAAAAUCAUAGUUAAGUGGGAAACGAUGUGGGAAGGCAUAGACAGCUAGGAGGUUGGCUUAGAAGCAGCCACCCUUUAAAGAAAGCGUAAUAGCUCACUAGUCGAGUCGGCCUGCGCGGAAGAUGUAACGGGGCUAAAACUAUGUGCCGAAGCUGCGGAUGUAUACUUUGUAUACGUGGUAGGGGAGCGUUCUGUAAGCCGAUGAAGGUGUGUUGAGAAGCAUGCUGGAGGUAUCAGAAGUGCGAAUGCUGACGUGAGUAACGACAAAACGGGUGAAAAACCCGUUCGCCGAAAGACCAAGGGUUCCAGUCCAACGUUAAUCGGGGCUGGGUGAGUCGACCCCUAAGGCGAGGCCGAAAGGCGUAGUCGAUGGGAAAAUGGUUAAUAUUCCAUUACUUCUGUGUAAUGCGAUGAGAGGACGGAGAAGGCUAAAUCAGCCUGGCGUUGGUUGUCCAGGUGAAAGGAUGUAGGCAUGUAUCUUAGGCAAAUCCGGGGUACUCUAUGCUGAGAUCUGAUAGCAAGCUGUACUUGUACAGCGAAGUGGUUGAUGCCAUGCUUCCAGGAAAAGUCUCUAAGCUUCAGUUACACAGGAAUCGUACCCGAAACCGACACAGGUGGUCAGGUCGAGUAGACCAAGGCGCUUGAGAGAACUCUGCUGAAGGAACUAGGCAAAAUGGUACCGUAACUUCGGGAGAAGGUACGCUGUUGUUGGUGAUGGAACUCGCUUCCUGAGCUGACGACAGCCGCAGAAACCAGGCCGCUGCAACUGUUUAUUAAAAACAUAGCACUCUGCAAACACGAAAGUGGACGUAUAGGGUGUGAUGCCUGCCCGGUGCUGGAAGGUUAAUUGAUGGGGUUAGCGUAAGCGAAGCUCUUGAUCGAAGCCCCAGUAAACGGCGGCCGUAACUAUAACGGUCCUAAGGUAGCGAAAUUCCUUGUCGGGUAAGUUCCGACCUGCACGAAUGGCAUAAUGAUGGCGGCGCUGUCUCCAGCAGAGGCUCAGUGAAAUCGAAAUCGCUGUGAAGAUGCAGUGUACCCGCGGCUAGACGGAAAGACCCCGUGAACCUUUACUGCAGCUUGACACUGAACUUUGACCUUACUUGUGUAGGAUAGGUGGGAGGCUUUGAAGCUGGAACGCUAGUUCCAGUGGAGCCGUCCUUGAAAUACCACCCUGGUAAUGUUGAGGUUCUAACUCUGUCCCGUGAUCCGGGACGAGGACCGUGUCUGGUGGGUAGUUUGACUGGGGCGGUCUCCUCCUAAAGAGUAACGGAGGAGUACGAAGGUGCGCUCAGCGUGGUCGGAAAUCACGCGUAGAGUAUAAAGGCAAAAGCGCGCUUAACUGCGAGACCCACAAGUCGAGCAGGUACGAAAGUAGGUCUUAGUGAUCCGGUGGUUCUGUAUGGAAGGGCCAUCGCUCAACGGAUAAAAGGUACUCUGGGGAUAACAGGCUGAUACCGCCCAAGAGUUCAUAUCGACGGCGGUGUUUGGCACCUCGAUGUCGGCUCAUCUCAUCCUGGGGCUGAAGCAGGUCCCAAGGGUAUGGCUGUUCGCCAUUUAAAGAGGUACGCGAGCUGGGUUUAGAACGUCGUGAGACAGUUCGGUCCCUAUCUACCGUGGGCGCUGGAAAUUUGAGAGGAUCUGCUCCUAGUACGAGAGGACCAGAGCGGACGAACCUCUGGUGUACCGGUUGUGACGCCAGUCGCAUCGCCGGGUAGCUAUGUUCGGAAGGGAUAACCGCUGAAAGCAUCUAAGCGGGAAGCCUACCUCAAGAUAAGAUUUCCCUAUGACUUUAUGUCCUCUAAAGAGCCGUUCGAGACUAGGACGUUGAUAGGUUGGAUGUGGAAGCAUAGUGAUAUGUGAAGCUGACCAAUACUAAUUGCUCGUGAGGCUUGACUA
rnacentral:rRNA from 1 species